UACGUAGGGGGCGAGCGUGUCCGGAUUCAUUGGGCGUAAAGCGCUUUAAGGCGGUUCGCUAAGUCGGGUGUGAAACCUCCAGGCUCAACCUGGAGACGCCACUCGAUACUGGCGUGACUAGAGUCCGGUAGGGGACCACGGAAUUCCUGGUGUAGCGGUGGAAAUGCGCAGAUAUCAGGAGGAACACCAGUGGCGAAGGCGGUGGUCUGGGCCGGAACUGACGCUGAGACGCGAAAGCGUGGGGAGCGAACAGG
rnacentral:rRNA from 1 species